UACGUAGGGUGCGAGCGUUGUCCGGAAUUAUUGGGCGUAAAGGGCUCGUAGGCGGUUUGUCGCGUCGGGGAGUGAAAACUCAGGGCUUAACCCUGAGCCUGCUUCCGAUACGGGCAGACUAGAGGUAUGCAGGGGAGAACGGAAUUCCUGGUGUAGCGGUGAAAUGCGCAGAUAUCAGGAGGAACACCGGUGGCGAAGGCGGUUCUCUGGGCAUUAACUGACGCUGAGGAGCGAAAGCAUGGGGAGCGAACAGG
rnacentral:rRNA from 1 species